GAAUUGGGCUGUCUCUCUCUCUUUCUCUGGUUGCAUUUCACCAGCUAAGGAGUUGCAUUGGCUUCUGCUCUCCUCUCUUGCUCACCUACAUUGUGAGGCAGAUGAGAGUGGAGUCUGUAAAUCACCCUCCAUGCAAUGGUUCAUCAUAAAGGAUAUGGAGCAAAAUUAGAGGAGGCACGAGAAGGAAAGCCGGUGAUGAACAAGGAAAGUGCCUGGUUGAAGCUAGCUUGCAAUCCCCAAAGUCAGAAGGUUGCCUGGGAAGCCAUGAAACAAAGCCAAAUCAAGGCAAAGCAGACACAUGGAGAUUUUGAGACUGAGAAGAGGAAAACUGAGGACAUUCAUGUGAGAUGGUUUCAAGUUUCCCUUAGAAGGAGAAGUUAUCUUCAGAAGGUCAGGUUGGUGAGGUGGGAGUUCAAAAACAACAAAGUAUGUAGCUACCAUUGUGAGGAAGACCAUGGAAAAUGGAUGAAUCAGAAUGAAAGGCUUUCUGAACAAGAGUAAGU
rnacentral:lncRNA from 1 species